rnacentral:rRNA from 1 species
UGGGGAAUAUUGCACAAUGGGCGAAAGCCUGAUGCAGCAACGCCGCGUGAAGGAAGAAGGCCUUCGGGUCGUAAACUUCUGUCCUAUGGGAAGAAAAAAAUGACGGUACCAUAGGAGGAAGCCCCGGCUAACUACGUGCCAGCAGCCGCGGUAAUACGUAGGGGGCGAGCGUUAUCCGGAAUUAUUGGGCGUAAAGAGUGCGUAGGUGGUAACUUAAGCGCGGGGUUUAAGGCAAUGGCUUAACCAUUGUUCGCCCUGCGAACUGGGAUACUUGAGUGCAGGAGAGGAAAGCGGAAUUCCUAGUGUAGCGGUGAAAUGCGUAGAUAUUAGGAGGAACACCAGUGGCGAAGGCGGCUUUCUGGACUGAAACUGACACUGAGGCACGAAAGUGUGGGGAGCAAACA